CAUCAGCAAAGGAGCUGAGGUCUCUCUGGUGUGUCUGGUCUCUGGUCCUGUGCUGCAGGAUUACUACAUCGCCUGGUCAGAAGGUACUGAAAAUAAGGCCGGCAUCUAUAUGGAUGGCAUUAACUUCCCCCCACAGAAGACCCAACAUGGCUACUUAGUUACAAGUGUUUACACCACCACCAAGGAAAAGUGGGACAAGCACAGCAUGUUCAACUGCAACGUCUGGCCUGCUGGUAGAAGUGUGUCUGUGAAACCCAAAGGAGUGUCUAAGGCCCAGGCUCCUGUCACAGUGACACUGAACCAACCCAGUGCCAAAGAAAUUUUCAGCAACAACAAAAUAAAGUUGGAGUGUAUCAUUACUGGACAGGACGAGACCAUUGUAAAUGAAAUUCAAGUCACUUGGCAAACUGAUGGACAAGAUGUGACCAACAACAUUGCUGAAUCAACAUCGUCCAGCGGCGUUCAGCACAGCAAAACCAGCACGAUAACUCGUAGUCUGUCUGAGUGGCAGAGUGUCAACAAAGUGCGCUGUUCUGCCAUUAGAGACGAUAUGACUCCAGUUAUUCAGGAUCUGACUGUCCACAAAGGAGAUGGGAGUGAGCCAAAUGUGACAGUCCAUGUCCUCCCAGAGGAGGACAUCAGCAAAGGAGCUGAGGUCUCUCUGGUGUGUCUGGUCUCUGGUCCUGUGCUGCAGGAUUACUACAUCGCCUGGUCAGAAGGUUCUGGAAAUAAAACUAGCAACUAUAAGGAUGGCAUUAACUUCCCCCCACAGAAGACCCAACAAGGCUACUUAGUUACAAGUGUUUACACCACCACCAAGGAAAAGUGGGACAAGCACAACAUGUUCAACUGCAACGUCUGGCCUGCUGGUAGAAAUAAGGCCAUGGAACCCAAAGGAGUGUCUAAGGACCAUGAUUCUCCUCCAGAUUUAAAACUGAGUUUGGCUCUGAGCUGCAUAGAGGAUGCCAUUGAAGAGGAUGAGUUCAGCAGUCUGUGGUCCACAACCUCCUCCUUCAUAUUCCUCUUCAUAUCCUCUCUCUUCUAUAGCAUGAUAUUCAGCCUGGUCAAGAUGAAGAGAAGAUAAAGGAUGAUGUGGAUGGGUAGCAUAAGACAACUUUUGCAGAGACUCUUGUUUUGUCUUUUUCUGAUCUAGUUUUAAAAACUUGGACAUUAUUGAACAUCUAC